rfam:Bacillus pumilus SAFR-032, complete genome.
AGAUUCUUUAAAACAGUCCAGAGAGGCUGAGAAGGAUAACGGAUCAAUUUGUGCACGUGUAUGCACAAAUGAACGCCCCUCUCUGCCCUUUGCAGAAGGGGCUUUUUAUU